UACCAGCACCCCGAGUGGUCGGGACGUUUAUUGGGCCUAAAGCAUCCGUAGCCGGUUCUACAAGUCUUCCGUUAAAUCCACCUGCUUAACAGAUGGGCUGCGGAAGAUACUAUGGAGCUAGGAGGCGGGAGAGGCAAGCGGUACUCGAUGGGUAGGGGUAAAAUCCGUUGAUCCAUUGAAGACCACCAGUGGCGAAGGCGGGUCUCUGGACAGUUCCUGACGCUGAGGCACGAAGGCCAGGGGAGCAAACGGG
rnacentral:rRNA from 1 species